AUAAAAAUCGAAUUAGUUCAUAUUUUAAUUAACCUCUAAUACUACUAAUUCUAUAAUUUUUUUAGAUCUAAAAGUAAUCUGAUGAUUAGAGGUAUAAUGGCUGGAAAAAAGUUGACCAGAUGAUUGAAUCAACGGGUGGCUGAAACAAUAAGCAACACUAAAUUUAUCAAGGUGAAUCAACGUACUGAGCUUCAUCAUUAUGCUCCUCAACAUCUACUUCUAUGGACCCCUCAAAGUUUUCAUUGGUGAAACCUGUAGAUAUGAAAAAGUGAAUCAAAAGACAAAUCAAAAGGCAAAAAUGUAUCUGAUUCAAAUGGUAUAAAAUAUACAUACUCUGGGUGCUAUCUGAUUCUUCUUCAUGGCGAUGUUGUUGGGUAUCUGUUGAUGAAGCCAUUUGAGAGAGAUUAGAGACAACAAAAAGAUGGAAGGAGACGGAGUGAACAAAACUAAUAAAAGUAUUGAAAGUGAGAAUGAAAGAGUGAGAGUGGUUUGUGUGCUCAAAUGAUU
rnacentral:lncRNA from 1 species